ACUGCCAGGACCCAGAAACUAAUGCUUUCCUUGCCUAAUAAAGUCUCACUCUGUCGCCCCGGCUGGAGUGCAGUGCUGCGAUCUCUGCUCACUGCAACCUCCGCCUCCUGGGUUCAAGCGAUUCUCCUGCCUCAGCCUCCUGAGUAGCUGGGAUUACGGUGACCACCACCACGCCCAGCUAAUUUUUUGUACUUUUAGUAGAGACGGGAUUUCAUCAUGUUGGCCAGGCUGGUCUCCAUCUUCUGACCUCGUGAUUCACCCACCUCGGCCUCCCAAAGUGCUGGGAUUACAGAGAUUCUGUGAGGAGCUGGAAGGCAAGCUUGGUUCAUGCAGACAUGAGGCACUAAUGUUUUCAACUGGGUUGCUCUCCACUGGAUGCCUAUUAAAUGCUCAGCACUUUGGAGUAUACCAGAGAAGUAAAGACAUGGCCCCUGCCUUCAAGGAGCAUUUUAUCCAGUUGGGUGGGACGCUACUUCAGACUGCUUUCAUGUCAAGAUCUGCCUCAUCUUCCAAAGUGGGAGUUCCCAGCAUUAGGCUUGUGGGGGUGGAAGCUUAAUCCGCCUCCUUCCAAAAACUGAAAUCUGGCCAGACGCGGUGGCUCACACCUGUAAUCUCAGCACUUUGGGAGGCUAAGGCAAGUGGAGCACGAGGUCAGGAGAUCGAGACCAUCCUGGCCAACAUGGUGAAACCCCAUCUCUACUGAAAAUACAAAAAUUAGCCGGGCAUGGUGGCUUGUGCCUGUAAUCCCAGCUACUCGAGAGACUGAGGCGAGAGAAUUGCUUGAACCCGGGAGGCAGAGGUUGCAGUGAGCCAAGAUCCCACCACUGCACAUCAGCCUGGGCGACAGAACCAGAUUCUGUCUGAGAAAAAAAAAAAAAAAGAAAGAAAGCCAACCAAUUCUUGCUGUAACUUCUGAAAAAGAACACAGUGCUGUGGCAGCAAUAAUGAUGACAUUCUUCCAAGGGGCAGGAUAAGAAAGAGGCAAAACAGCUGCUGGAGGUGGAUUUUUGGCAUUAGGGAAGUGUGAAAUGUGAAAAAUCGCUAUCACAGAAGAUCAAAGGAGUUAAGAAAAACUCACAAUUUAGAGCUACCUGUUUGUAUUAGUCUGUUUUUAUACCGCUAUAAAGAUACUACCUGAGACUGGGUAAUUUAUAAAGAAAAGAGAUUUAAUUGACUCACAGUUCCACAUGUCUGGGGAGGCCUCAGGAAACUUACAAUCAUGGUGGAAGGUGAAGGGGAAGCAGGCACCUUCUUCACAAGGCAGCAGGAGGGAGGGAGAGAGAAGCAAAGUGGGAAGAGCUCCUUAUAAAACCAUCAGAUCUAUGAGAACUCACUCAUUGUCAUAAGAACAGCAUGGGGGAACCUCCCCCAUGAUCCAAUCACCUCCCACCAGGUCUCUCCCUCAACACCCGGGAAUUACAAUUCAAGAUAAGAGGCCGGGCACUCACCUGUAAUCCUAGCACUUUGGGAGGCCGAGGCGGGCAGAUGGCCUGAGCUCAGGAGUUUGAGACCAGCCUGGGCAACAUGGUGAAACCCCAUCUCUACUAAAAUACAAACAACAACAACAAAAAUUAGCGGGCGUGGCAGCGUGUGCCUGUAGUCCCAGGUACUCAGGAGGCUGAGGCAGGAGAAGUGCUUGAACCCUGGAAGCAGAGGUUGCAGUGAGCUGAGAUCGUGCCACUGCACUCCAGCAUGGCGACAGAGCGAGACUCCAUCUCAAAAAACAAAAACAAAAACAAUUCAAGAUGAAAUUUGAGUGGGGACACAAAGCCUAAACAUAUCACUGUUUUACAGCGUAAACAGUCACCUAAGUUAACUGUGUUAGAUAUGGUUUCUUGCAUACAUUUUCACUACCUUCUCUAUAUACUCCAUUUUUACUCUACAGAAUUAUAGAAACUGGAAGGCUCAAAACUAUAUUUCCCACUUUUCACCAUCCAUAAAAGUCACAAUUGUAAAUCUAAGUGGGACAAUAACAGUUUCACAAGAAAACAGAAGAAUACUCACGAUUUUGGAAUCCACAAAGAUUUCUUAAACUGGAGACACACAAAAUAAAUAAGCCAUAAAGGAAAACAUCUGAUAAACUAAACUAAUUCAAAAUUAUGAAUGUCUUCUUCAAAAUACACUAUUAAAAGAGUGAAUAAAAUAAGCCACAGAGUGGGCUGGGCACAGUGGCUCACGCCUGUAAUCCCAGCACUUUGGGAGGCCGAAGCAGGCAGAUCACAAGGUCAGGAGAUUGAGACCAUCCUGGCUCACAUGGUGAAACCCCGUCUCUACUAAAAAUACAAAAAAUUAGCUGGGCAUGGUGGCGGGCACCUGUAGUCCCAGCUACUUGGGAGGCUGAGGCAGGAGAAUGGCGUGAACCCGGGAGGAGGAGCUUGCAGUGAGCCGAGAUCACGCCACUGCACUCCAGCCUGGGUGACAGAGCAAGACUCCAUCUCAAAAAAAAAAAACAAAAAACAAAAAGCCACAUAGUGGCAAAAGAUAUUAUCAAUACAUAUACCCGACAAAGGACUCAUAUCCAGAAUAAAGGACUAUAAAAACAAGAAAAGGCAGACAAGCCCAUAGAAAAUCACACAAAACACAUGAAUAGGCAUUUCACAGAAGAGGGUACCCAAAUGGCCAAUAAACAAUUAAAAAGGUGUUUAUUUGAUAUCAGAAAAAUGAAAACAACAAUGAGAUUCAAUACACUGCAUUAGUCUUUGAAGAGAAUGGCUAAAAUUUAAAAGAUGGAAAAGAUCAAGUUUUGAUGAAGAUGUGAAAAACUGUUGGGCAGUACUACUCAAGCUGAACCCCAUGCAUCAGAGAAAUUACACUUUUAUAUAUCCAACUGAAAUAUGUGUGUGUGUGUGUGUUCACCAAUGUUCACAGUGGCACUAGUUGCAGUAAUCUCAAAUUGGAAACAACCCAAAUGUCCAUCUUUGGUAGAACGUAUAAAUUGUGUUAUAUUCAUACAAUGGAAUACUACACAGCAAUGAAAAUGAAGAUACUAUUAUUACUCUCAACAUGAAUGAAUCUCACAAAUAGUUGAGUAGGAAAAGCCAGUAAUAAAAUAAUACACACUGUAUCAUUCCAUUUUGUCUAAUGUUUAAAAAUAGGCCAAAUUGGUCUAGGGUAUUAGAAGCCAAGAUUACAGUCAAUUUGAGGGAGGAUAAUGCCUAGAAAAGAUAAUGAAGGGAGCUUCUGGUAUGGUAGUAGUUUCUGCCUCCCAAUCUGGGUGCUAGCAAUAUGUAGGUGUGUUUACUUUAUGAAAAUUCAUCAAGCUCUCUGAUUAUAAUUUGUGCAUUUUUCUGUCUGUAUGCUAUACUUCAAUAAAGAUAGAUUUAUACUGAGUUAGGAACAAAGCUCAAUAACUAUAAUUCUAGGCUGAGCUGCUAAUAGGAUUUGUUAAACAAUUUAAACUGUGCCAGUCAGAUAUAAUGAUGCGAAAUUAGAAAGGUAAAAGGAAGAGAGAGGCUAUUUCCCCUGCCUAUUAGUUUUCCUUCCUUCCUUCCUUCCUCCCUUUUCUUUCUCUUCUUUCUCCUUCCUUCUUUCUCUUUCUCCUUCCUUCCUUCCUUCCUUUUCUUUCUCUUCUCCUUCCUUCCUUCCUUCCUCUUCUUUCCCUUCCUUCCUUUCUCUCUCUCUCUUUUUACCUUCCUCCUUCCCUCCCUCCUUCUCUCUCUCUAUUUAUUUAUUUUUUGAGAAAGAUUCUUGUUCUGUCCAGGCUGGAGUACAGUGGCACAAUCACAACUCACUGCAGCCUAGACCUCCUGGGCUCAAGGAUCCUCCCACCUCAGUGUCCCAAAUGUUUGGGACUUCAGGCAUGCACCAACAUGCCUGGCUGCCUAUUAGUUUUCACUGGUAGUUGUUGAUGUACGUGCAACAUUAAAUGUGGUUUUUAAUGACCAGACUUUCUGUGCCUCUGCAUUGCCACUAACUUCAUCUGUGAGAAAUGACUGUGAUGCCAGCAGUGGACUUUAUAGCUUCCUGACCUCUAGAUUGUAGCUGUGUGGACUGAACUGCGAGCCCAACAGCAUCCCUCUAAUGGUAAGAGCAUAUAAUUUUUAAGCAUAUAAUUCUUAGCAUUCAGUACCUAGAGAAGUGUCUGCACUGAACCCCAACUGAUAUAUCAGUUAAUAACACAACUGAUAGGUUAUCUAGUAGGUUUAUGGUUGGUUGUAAGAAUCUUUGGGAAAGAAAAUUACCAUUGGCAAUCCUACCACCUAGGAUCAUCAUUAUCAUGGGAAAGUUCUGCUUUAGAGGCAACCUAAAUCUAUUUUGAGGUCCUGAAAAUGCAUUUACUUCACAGGAUAUGCUGGUUUCUGCUGCCAUUCAAAAAUUAUUCUUAAGGCAUUCUUUGUUCUCUUUUCACUAGCUAAAUAAUGCCGUGCUUUUAACUUUUCUUUAUGUGUUCAGCAGCUUUUCCCAGUUGUGGAUAUUUGAAAAAAGUAUUCAUAUAAAUACUGCCUGUUCUGGUAGGAUUAGCUGUCCCUUUCUUUUGGUUAUAUUCCCAAGUUCAUUCUUGCUUAUCUAACCAAAGCCCUACAUUGCUGACUCAAGUUUAGUUUAUGGUCCAAGCCCAGUAUCAUGUUACUAUUAGCCAAGAUUUCCCAUGGGUUGAGGCAGACUUGUAGAAGAUUGAAAAAUAAAACUUACUGGCCAUAAGUAAGACUUUUUAUCUGGCCUUCCAGUACAGAACAUUCUCUAAUAUAGCAGCUUAUAAACAAUGAGAAUCAGAAGCCUAAAAAAAUUAGUUAAUAGCCAAACAGUGACUGAAUCAUGGAAUUGUACAGUUAGAAUGGACCUUAGAAGCAGUCUAUAUAAGCCAGGUAUAGUGGCUCAUGCCUGUAAUCUCAGCACUUUGGGAGGCCAAGGCAGGAGGAUCUCUUGAGCCCUGGAGUUUGAGACCAGCCUGGCCAAAAUGGUGAGACCCCAUCUCUACUAAUUUUUUUAAAAAGUCUAUAUACAUACCAGAACACAGAGCUCAGAUAUGUAUGCAGGAUUCCAGUCCGUGCUGAAUACUCUUCCAGUAUGAGUACUCUUCCUACUCCUCAAGGUGUGUGGCCCUCAAAGCAGCAGCAUCAGCACUUACCUGGGAGCUUGUUAGAAAGCCAGAAUCUCAGGCUCCAACACCCACUGAAGCAGAAUUUGCAUGUAACACCCCCACCCCUUCUUGAUUUGUAUGCAUGUUGAAAUUUGUGGAGUUAGAGACAAAAGCACCACAGGUGCAUGUCUUACUAUUUAAAGUCUUGCCUAAUUAUAUAACAUAGAAACCUGAUCCCUUCUGGACAAGGCCUGUAUUAUUACAGGUCCUGGUCUAAUAGAGUAUUUGAAUAGCUGGGUUAAAGAAAAAGAAAACUCUCUUUAAUAAUCUUUGGAAAAAGAGGACAUUUAUUUGAGCUAUGCUAGUUUU
rnacentral:lncRNA from 1 species